GGAAUAUUGGUCAAUGGACGGUAGUCUGAACCAGCCAAGUCGCGUGCGGGAAGAAGGCCCUCCGGGUCGUAAACCGCUUUAGCCGGGGCGUAACGUGGGGGUCGUGACCUCCAGUGAGAGUACCCGGAGAAUAAGCAUCGGCUAACUCCGUGCCAGCAGCCGCGGUAAUACGGAGGAUGCGAGCGUUAUCCGGAUUUAUUGGGUUUAAAGGGUGCGCAGGCGGCACGUCAAGUCAGCGGUCAAAAUGCGGUGCUCAACGCCGUACCGCCGUUGAGACUGGCGCGCUCGAGUGCGUGGGAGGAUUGCGGAAUGCGCGGUGUAGCGGUGAAAUGCAUAGAUAUCGCGCAGAACCCCGAUUGCGAAGGCAGCAGUCCAUCACGCCACUGACGCUCAUGCACGAAAGCGUGGGUAUCGAACA
rnacentral:rRNA from 1 species